rnacentral:rRNA from 1 species
GACGGGGGAUGCAAGCGUUAUCCGGAAUCACUGGGCGUAAAGCGUCUGUAGGUGGUGAUGCAAGUCACUGGUGCAAAACUCUGGCUCAACCGGAGGAAAGCCAGUGAAACUGCAUGACUAGAGUGUGGGAGAGGUAGAAGGAAUUCCCUGAGUAGCGGUGAAAUGCGUAGAUACAGGGAAGAACACCGGAGGCGAAAGCGUUCUACUGGAACACAACUGACACUGAGAGACGACAGCGUGGGGAGCAAACCGG